UACAGAGGGUGCGAGCGUUGUUCGGAAUCACUGGGCGUAAAGGGUGCGUAGGUGGCGCCGUAAGUCAGGUGUGAAAUCUCGGGGCUCAACCCCGAAACUGCACUUGAUACUGCGGUGCUCGAGUACUGGAGAGGAGAUUGGAAUUUACGGUGUAGCAGUGAAAUGCGUAGAUAUCGUAAGGAAGACCAGUGGCGAAGGCGAAUCUCUGGACAGUUACUGACACUGAGGCACGAAGGCCAGGGGAGCAAACGGG
rnacentral:rRNA from 1 species